AGAGUUUGAUCCUGGCUCAGAAUUCAACGCUGGCGGCGUGCCUAACACAUGCAAGUCGAAUGCGGUUACUGCAGUUCCGCAAGGAAUUGUAGUGACUGAGUGGCGAACGGGUGAGUAACGCGUGGGUGACCUACCUUCGAGUGGGGGAUAACGUCCCGAAAGGGACGCUAAUACCGCAUGACAUCCUGUCCUUGAACGGAUGGAGAUCAAAGCUGGGGAUCGCAAGACCCGGCGCUUGAUGAGGGGCCCGCGUCCGAUUAGCUAGUUGGUGAGGUAACGGCUCACCAAGGCGACGAUCGGUAUCCGGCCUGAGAGGGCGGACGGACACACUGGGACUGAGACACGGCCAGACUCCUACGGGAGGCAGCAGUGGGGAAUUGUUCACAAUGGGCGCAAGCCUGAUGACGCAACGCCGCGUGGAGGAUGAAGGUCUUCGGAUUGUAAACUCCUGUUGCCAGGGACGAACAGCUCCGACCUAAUACGUUCGGAGUUCUGACGUACCUGGUGAGGAA
rnacentral:rRNA from 1 species